rnacentral:rRNA from 1 species
ACCCCAGAAAGACUAUCUGGUUGAUAGGUCGAAGGUGUAAGUGCAGUAAUGUAUUUAGCUUAUCGAUACUAAUAGGUCGAGGACUUGACCAA